GACGAACGCUGGCGGCGUGCUUAACACAUGCAAGUCGAGCGGUAAGGCCCUUUCGGGGGUACACGAGCGGCGAACGGGUGAGUAACACGUGGGUGACCUGCCCUCAGCUCUGGGAUAAGCCCGGGAAACUGGGUCUAAUACUGGAUAUGACUCCAUGACGCAUGUUGUGGGGUGGAAAGCCUUGUGCGGCUAGAGAUGGGCCCGCGGCCUAUCAGCUUGUUGGUGGGGGAUGGCCUACCAAGGCGACGACGGGUAGCCGGCCUGAGAGGGCGACCGGCCACACUGGGACUGAGACACGGCCCAGACUCCUACGGGAGGCAGCAGUGGGAAUCUUGCGCAAUGGGACGAAAGCCUGACGCAGCGACGCCGCGUGAGGGAUGACGGCCUC
rnacentral:rRNA from 1 species